rnacentral:rRNA from 1 species
UUUCCGGUUGAUCCUGCCGGACCUGACUGCUAUCGGAUUGAUACUAAGCCAUGCGAGUCAUUGUAGUAAUACAAGGCAGACGGCUCAGUAACGCGUAGUCAACCUACCCUAUGGACGAGGAUAAUCUCGGGAAACUGAGAAUAAUACUCGAUAGACCAUUAUGCCUGGAACGGUUUAUGGUUAAAAUGAUUCGUCGCCAUAGGAUGGGACUGCGGCCUAUCAGCUUGUUGGUGAGGUAAUGGCCCACCAAGGCGAUUACAGGUACGGGCUCUGAGAGGAGAAGCCCGGAGAUGGGUACUGAGACAAGGACCCAGGCCCUAUGGGGCGCAGCAGGCGAGAAAACUUUGCAAUGUGCGAAAGCACGACAAGGUUAGUCCGAGUGAUUUCUGCUAAAGAAAUCUUUUGCAAGUUAUAAAACCACUAGUGAAUAAGGGGUGGGCAAGUUCUGGUGUCAGCCGCCGCGGUAAAACCAGCACCUCAAGUGGUCAGGAUGAUUAUUGGGCCUAAAGCAUCCGUAGCCUGCUCUGUUAGUUUUUGGUUAAAUCCAUGUGCUCAACACAUGGGCUGCCGAAAAUACUGCAGGGCUAGGGAGUGGGAGAGGUAGACGGUACUCAGUAGGAAGGGGUAAAAUCCUUUGAUCUAUUGAUGACCACCUGUGGCGAAGGCGGUCUACCAGAACACGUUCGACGGUGAGGGAUGAAAGCUGGGGGAGCAAACCGGAUUAGAUACCCGGGUAGUCCCAGCUGUAAACGAUGCAGACUCGAU